UGGGGUGGGCUACUAAGUGCUUUUGUUUGUGGCGCAGUUUACGACUAAGACUGGGAGGGCCAGACGUGGCCAGCACAAGCUUAUUGGCUUGAGUGGCUGGGUUGCUAUGUCAUCGACGACGUCUGUGUCAAGAUGAGCGACUAGGUGUGUUAUGAAAUUGUGUCAAGCAGAUGGUUACAUUAUUUAAAAAAAUAACUUUCAUCCGGAGUUAGUUUAUUAUUUAUUCUGAAUGUUUGAUUCUUCUUCUAAGCUAGAUACUGAUACGUCUCCAACGUAUCUAUAAUUUAUGAAGUAUUCAUGUCAUGUUUACAACAAUUUUAUAUGAUUUUGAUAUGAUUUGAUUAGAACUAACCCGGACUGACGCUGCUUUCAGCAGAACUACCGUGGUGUCGUUCUUUGUGCAGAAAUAAAAGUUCUCGGAAUGGGCUGAAAAUUCAUGAUGUUUUUAUGGACCAGAAAAAGCCCCUGAAGCACAAGGGUUGGGCCAGAAGAGUCUC
rnacentral:lncRNA from 1 species